rnacentral:misc_RNA from 1 species
AACGCACCUUGCACCCUCUGGUAUUCUGGAGGGUAUGCCUGUUUGAGUGUCAUUAAUCCCUCAACACAAGAAAACUUGUUUCUUGUGCUUGGAUAGUGAAGGUUUUGCUGGCGCAAAUAACUGUCAGCUCCUUUUAAAUGCAUUAGCAGAACAGUGCAGGACUGGCCUCAGUUUGAUAAGAAAUAUUUAUCUAUGCUGUCGCUAGAUUUCCUCUUUGUGUUCAGCUUCAAACUGUCUUCGGACUGUCUCUCUUGAGGCAAAAUAAUUCAUUGAUCGACCUCAAAUCAGGUAGGACUACCCGCUGAACUUAA